UUGGAGGGCAAGUCUGGUGCCAGCAGCCGCGGUAAUCCCAGCUCCAAUAGCGUAUAUUAAAGUUGUUGCAGUUAAAAAGCUCGUAGUUGAAUUUCGGGGUUCUACCGUUGGUCGGGCUUUGUCUGUACUGGUGUGUAGAAUUUCUACCUUCUGGGGAACCAUCAUGCUAUUAAUUUAGCGUGGUGGGAAACCAGGACCUUUACCUUGAAAAAAUUAGUGUGUUCAAAGCAGGCUUAUGUCUGAAUACAUUAGCGUGGAAUAAUAGAAUAGGACGGUGGUCCUGUUUUGUUGGUUUCUGAAUCACCGUAAUGAUUAAUAGGGAUAGUUGGGGGCAUUAGUAUUCAAUUGUCAGAGGUGAAAUUCUUGGAUUUAUUGAAGACUAACUUCUGCGAAAGCAUUUGCCAAGGAUGUUUUCAUUAAUCAAGAACGAAAGUUAGGGGAUCGAAGACGAUCAGAUACCGUCGUAGUCUUAACCAUAAACUAUGCCGACUAGGGAUCGGAUGAUGUUAAUUUUUUAAUGACUCGUUCGGCGCCUUACGGGAAAC
rnacentral:rRNA from 1 species